rnacentral:rRNA from 1 species
UACGGAGGGUGCGAACGUUAAUCGGAAUUACUGGGCGUAAAGCGUGCGCAGGCGGCUUUGCAAGACAGAUGUGAAAUCCCCGGGCUUAACCUGGGAACUGCAUUUGUGACUGCAUGGCUGGAGUGCGGCAGAGGGGGAUGGAAUUCCGCGUGUAGCAGUGAAAUGCGUAGAUAUGCGGAGGAACACCGAUGGCGAAGGCAAUCCCCUGGGCCUGCACUGACGCUCAUGCACGAAAGCGUGGGGAGCAAACAGG